rnacentral:rRNA from 1 species
GACGAACGCUGGCGGCGUGCCUAAUACAUGCAAGUAGAACGCUGAAGGAAGGAGCUUGCUCUUUCCGGAUGAGUUGCGAACGGGUGAGUAACGCGUAGGUAACCUGCCUGGUAGCGGGGGAUAACUAUUGGAAACGAUAGCUAAUACCGCAUAACAGUAGAUAUCGCAUGAUAGCUGCUUAAAAGGUGCAAUUGCACCACUACCAGAUGGACCUGCGUUGUAUUAGCUAGUUGGUGAGGUAACGGCUCACCAAGGCCACGAUACAUAGCCGACCUGAGAGGGUGAUCGGCCACACUGGGACUGAGACACGGCCCAGACUCCUACGGGAGGCAGCAGUAGGGAAUCUUCGGCAAUGGACGGAAGUCUGACCGAGCAACGCCGCGUGAGUGAAGAAGGUUUUCGGAUCGUAAAGCUCUGUUGUAAGAGAAGAACGAGUGUGAGAGUGGAAAGUUCACAC